rnacentral:rRNA from 1 species
GAUGAACGCUGGCGGCGUGCCUAAUACAUGCAAGUCGAGCGAACAGAUAAGGAGCUUGCUCCUUUGACGUUAGCGGCGGACGGGUGAGUAACACGUGGGUAACCUACCUAUAAGACUGGAAUAACUCCGGGAAACCGGGGCUAAUGCCGGAUAACAUUUAGAACCGCAUGGUUCUAAAGUGAAAGAUGGUUUUGCUAUCACUUAUAGAUGGACCCGCGCCGUAUUAGCUAGUUGGUAAGGUAACGGCUUACCAAGGCAACGAUACGUAGCCGACCUGAGAGGGUGAUCGGCCACACUGGAACUGAGACACGGUCCAGACUCCUACGGGAGGCAGCAGUAGGAAUCUUCCGCAAUGGGCGAAAGCCUGACGGAGCAACGCCGCGUGAGUGAUGAAGGUCUUCGGAUCGUAAAACUCUGUUAUUAGGGAAGAACAAAUGUGUAAGUAACUGUGCACGUCUUGACGGUACCUAAUCAGAAAGCCACGGCUAACUACGUG